rnacentral:rRNA from 1 species
UACGGAGGGUGCGAGCGUUGUCCGGAAUCACUGGGCGUAAAGGGCGCGUAGGCGGCUCGUUUAGUCGGGUGUGAAAUCCCAAGGCUCAACCUUGGAACUGCAUUCGAUACUGGCGGGCUAGAGACCGGAAGAGGUGGGUGGAAUACCCAGUGUAGAGGUGAAAUUCGUAGAUAUUGGGUGGAACACCGGUGGCGAAGGCGGCUCACUGGUCCGGUUCUGACGCUGAGGCGCGAAAGCGUGGGGAGCAAACAGG